rnacentral:lncRNA from 1 species
GCUGUUGAAAUUGGACCCGAUGACCUUUGGAGGAAGGCACAGCAAAAGAAUACUCGGUCAUCGAGCAACUGCACAAAAAGCCAGAAAAGAUUUCUAUUAUGGCUCUUCUAUAAAGCUUUGAGGCAUAUAAAAAUGCCUUAAUGAAAAUACUGAGUGAAGCUUAUGUUCCCAGCAAUAUAACAGGAGGCGAAAUGGUAAACAUGGUGG